rnacentral:lncRNA from 1 species
UGAUGAUAUUGAGGAAAUGCCAAGUUGGCCUUUCAUAUUUGCUAAAGGUGGUGGUUUCCUGACAGGCAAGUCCUUCACACCUUGCAUUGACAACGUUCCUCUCAUGCAAGCAUGCAGUCCUAGAGAGGCGUUCAAGAUAUUAUUCCUGGCACACUUUGCGUCAACUUUGCCCACCCAAAAGAGACAAGUCUUAUCCUGGAGUUCACUCAUAGGUCAAUUGCCACUGUCAGUCCCGGAAAGGGCACAACGACUGACCAUACACGUGGGAAACAGCACAACCUGAACCCGAAAGUGCCGUCAUUGAGUAGCUCCCUGAAGGACUUGACGUUUAAACAUAUGUGCCGGCCAACUCGAACACUAUCCGCGAGAGAUUCCUGAAUCUGGACCCCUUGUGAUACUGGGGGCAUAGUGAACGAAACGGGAAUUGUACAACUAACAGACAAGAAAGCCAAGGCAAGUACAGGGGAUGUUAUUUGUAGUCAUUACGAAGUAAAUGUGAAGAAAGCAAAGUGGAUGAAAAGAUAACA